GAUGAAGAACGCAGCGAAAUGCGAUACGUAAUGUGAAUUGCAGAAUUCAGUGAAUCAUCGAAUCUUUGAACGCACAUUGCGCCCCCUGGUAUUCCGGGGGGCAUGCCUGUUCGAGCGUCAUUUCACCACUCAAGCCUCGCUUGGUAUUGGGCAACGCGGUCCGCCGCGUGCCUCAAAUCGUCCGGCUGGGUCUUCUGUCCCCUAAGCGUUGUGGAAACUAUUCGCUAAAGGGUGUUCGGGAGGCUACGCCGUAAAACAACCCCAUUUCUAAGGUUGACCUCGGAUCAGGUAGGGAUACCCGCUGAACUUAAGCAUAUCAAUAAGCGGAGGA
rnacentral:misc_RNA from 1 species